ensembl:lncRNA
AUAAAAUUCAACAAGUUCUUAAACUGUUCUAAGAACUGUUUGUAGAUAAAGCAUAGUAGAUAAAGAUAGGUGGGAAGAAACCUGAAGGAAAAUGAAAAAAUGAUAACAUUUGGAAGUCUCAAGGGAAGAAUAGAGAACAAUAAAACAACGUACUUCAAGAAACUCAGUGCAGGUCUGAAUCACUUCAGAGUGUGAGAGCUGAACAAUAAAUAAUGUGGGCAACAGAAUUUUUAUGCUUGGUGUUCUUCUUUCUCUUUUUAAGUUUAAGUUGACUUAUCCUGUUGAAAUGUACUCUACAUGACUUGGAGCAGGCUGAGGCAACUGCAGAUUCUAAACAGUAAUCUUUUAUAAUUCAUGCAAGACAGUAAGACACCAGAAGAUCAGGAAGAGUAUGUCUUUCAACAGGAUAAAGGAACUGUAAGAGGUCAUUCUUUUACGCCGUUGCCUCAAAGCUUGCUGAGGGACACAGAUGAACAAAUUCAAGCAAGUCCUGACCAAGGAUUAAGAAAACCUUCGUCUGAAGGGACAACAGAUGGACAACGCCUGGGGCAACGAGAGAGAUUCCACACGACCUGCCUCUCCCUCCCGGACUCGCUCUGUGCUCUACCUGCUUGCUGCCUAAGGAUGGCCUCUCUGCUGCUGCUCACCCCUCCGAGAAGGUGUCUGCCAUCAGAUCCCUCACUACAAAAGGCCUGCAUGCUGACUGACUCUCCAGGGCCUGCUACCGGAGACCUGCUGCUUCCGCCCAGACUUCUUCCUGGACCUACUCGGUACCUGCCUGCACCUUCUCGCUGCCUAAGACCGGCCACACCGCUGCUGCUCUUCCCCUGCGCUUUUGCCCCGGACCAUCGGAACGUCGUGCAACGGGACUACUGCCGGAUCCUGGUGACCUAUGCCUUCAGCUUCAAUGAGCACAGUUGGAGAACAUUGUAAGGGAAAAUGGUACACCGUCUGGGAUAUGCAAGGGACUUUGGCUCUUAAUUCAGAUUGUUGUAUAAUGUAUUUAAAAAAAAAAGUCAGCAAUGAUUUUCCUAGGAAUCUUUUCAUCAUAAUAUUACCUUCAUCUUACUCAUUCCCCAAUCAGUCUAAUUCAGGCACUCAAAUAUGCAAGGUAUGUAAAAACUAUGAUAAAUGUAUAUAUCAACACACGUUAUAAGCACCACUUGAUAUUCUAAUAAUCCAAGUAAAGCCUAUUUUUAAUACAUGAAAGCUGCUCUGAAAGUAAUGCCUCCUAUUUUGUCCUAUUUUGUUUUGUUGGUCCAUGAUGUCACAGGCAGAUGGUGGUGGUAUGGCAGUAGAGGCUGAACCUUCUCACCAAUAUCCCAUUACAUUUUGUUGCCAUGUAACAGAUGGCAACAAAGGGGCAGUCUGACAAAAUGGCAUCUGACAGGGAAGUGCUUCUGAAAUAAAGGUCUGGGGUUGAAUUCCUUGAUGUGGAAAAAAUGACACCCAUUGGCAUUCACUGAUGUUUGCUGAAUGCUGAUGGAGACCAAGUAGCAGGUGUGAGCACAGUGACACAGUGAGUGGUGUGUUUCAGCAGUAGCAGCACCAACUGUGUCACCUCAGCUGGUGCAGAUUUUUCUGAGUGCAGCAUGCAGGUUCUUGUUCAUUGCUGGUGAAAAUGUGUAGCUAAUGAUGGUGCCUAUGUUGAAAAACAGGUUUUUUUGUAGCUGAGAAUUUGCUCUAUCAAAUUUGUAGCUAUUGUAGUUUCCAUGGAAAUAAACAGGAGGCAUUACUUUCAUAGAGAAUUAAGUAGAGGAGAAUGACUUCAUUUAUUUCUACAGGUGUAAGUUAAGAAGCAACUGUCAUGAAUUUAACAUCAAUUUGUAGCAAUUAUUGGUCUGGGCAUUAUAUGCUAACACUGCCUGGCUUCAAAUUCAAAUCAAGGAACACUCUGAUGUCAUGAAUUUUAUUUAAAAAUAUUUAUCACUACACACUACUCUGAGGUCUAGAAACAGAUUUAGAACUUGGGGAAAGAUGCAAAUGAAAAAUUCUAUUGGAAAAACAAAACUACUGUUUAAUGCUCGAGGCCUUAGUGGCCUUACAUUUGUAAUUAACCCAGCAAGAACAAAAUCCUCAUACUAAAGGCUAAACAUAACUCAAGGACUCUUUCAGAACAAAACAGUGCUACUGAAAUGCUGAGUUCUGAAUGCUCAUCAGAUCCUGGGUGAAAGCCAAGACAUCUCUGCUUUAUAUCUGAAGAAACUACUAUUAAGAACCUAAGAAUCAUUGUCAUUCCAAAGCGUACUUCUGCUUUUUGAUUUCUUGGUUUCAGAACUGAGCUCAAAGCAGUUAGAUCAUUGAGCAGCAAGCUGCUGGCCACUCUGUAGUACCAGUGUAGUCAAUGGGAACCAGAUUUGCUCAGAAAACCAGCAAUUUGUGUCUCAAGUUCUGCACCCAUAGUCAAAAACUGACUCAGUAAGACAGACUGAUUUUCUGUUUUAACUCUCCAAUAAAAACAGUCUUUCCAGAUCCUGAAUUUGUCUUUUACGUGAAAUAGACUUUUCUGCCCAUUGCAUGUAAAUGUAAACUUUCUUGGAGAAACUUUAUAAGUAAGCUCACAGAA